rnacentral:rRNA from 1 species
CUAGCCGUAAACGAUGGAUACUAGGUGUUAGUGGUAUCGACCCCACUAGUGCCGCAGCUAACGCAAUAAGUAUCCCGCCUGGGGAGUACGGCCGCAAGGUUGAAACUCAAAGGAAUUGACGGGGGCCCGCACAAGCGGUGGAGCAUGUGGUUUAAUUCGUCAUUAACCGAAGAACCUUACCAGGGUUUGACAUGUAGGGAAGUCGGGUGAAAGCCUGAUGUGCCCCCAAAAGGGGAGCCCUAACACAGGUGU